rnacentral:lncRNA from 11 species
CAAUCCUAGCCGAUUACUGGAGUCAGCUGUCACGUACGGAACCCUGUAUAUUCUUCCUCUGGGUCAGUGACCAUCAGAUUGCCACCAGCUGAGCUAUUCAUUUCAACGGGCACUAUAGAUAGCAUCUCCUUUCAUGGGUUCGAACACGAUACGUAAGAACAAACGACACUGGUUAAAGCAAGACCUAUAAACAGUAAGCAUAAGAUUCGAUAAAUGACAUCGAAAAUUUGUCUAAAAAAGCCUUUUGUUCGCUUUUAUCUAAAAUGAUCUAAAGAAGAAUGCUCGAACACAAGGUUCCGAACGCUUUUAUGUUAACAGUCCUUUAUUAUUCUGUACGUGAUUGUUUGCAAAUCGCUUUACAAUACCGUCUGUCGAUUACCUGAAUUUGGCUAUCUAAAUUUUUCAGGAUUCAUAAUUUCAUUUGCUACUUCCAGGCAGCUUUCGAGUUGGUGCCCAGAGGUGCUUACACCGGCCAAGAUGAAUGAUUCUAUAAAUGUUCUCCACGUUCUCGCGAUAGGGAAUAGAAUAACUAUCGACGAUGCAGUGGUUAAACUCCCACCCUUUAUACAACAAUCGACCUGGUCCAGGGAAACGGCCCAACAUCACUUUUAUUCUCUAUCUUACUGCGUGAUUAAAUAAGAGGAUCGAGAGAUAUAAUCAGAGUCAUCUUGUAUGCAGAUGAUUUAGCGAUAUACGGAUCAACCGGGUUUCAUUCAAGGUCAACAAGUUGUAGCCCGGCUCCUCGUGGUAGUCAUAGACUAACACUGACCGUAAACCCAACCACGGUGGGGGCGAUGAAGUUUCGAGAGGGAACAGGAUAGCGGCUGAUGCUUUGUAUUUUAUUAGGUCGCGUCUUGCUUUAGUAAACCGGUCCAGUGUUGGAGCUGCUCUUUUUCACGAACAGCAGGCGUUUCAUAACAUACGUCACCGAACAUAACACCCUUGGCCACAUAGGGCGAUUGUCUCAUCGCUUGUCACUCGUAACCACUUUCAACGUGUUCGAUAGUUCAAAGCAACUCUGAUUGUAACGCAUGGGAUCUGAGUCAUUUGAGAAGAUCCUUAGGAUUAAGAGUUUGGAACAAUCAAAUUGCGUCAAAGCCUCCCUCCUCAAAAGAGCGCUGGGACUAUACAUAUCGCCUAACCUCGCGUGUUCUCUAUUAUCCUGGGAUCUACGUCGUUGUUUUGAGCUCCUAGUAACGGUGGUAAGACAAUAGCACGUGGAAAGAAAAAUUCGCGGAGACUGGUGGAGAUUUUUUUACUUCGGGUAUGAUGAAGAACAACGAGCGGAAAGGAAUGAACUAGGUAAACAGACCUGUCGUUAUCUGCUUUGCCGUGUAUGUGUUCUGCUAAUGGCUCUGCGAGAACCUAGAUUUUCACAGGCUUCGAGAUACAUGUAGGUGCUCUGUGUCCUGGCUGAACCUCCGAGAAGGAUGAGUUUGAGCUGCUGAAAGUGUGGUGGAGAAGCUACACAACUAUGUCACCAUGAAUCGAAGAAAAUACGUCGCAGCUUCAAAAAAAACAUUGCCAUAAACGUAGCCCAAGAAGCUUAUUCUUAGGCGUUGUGCCCCUUCCCGCUGCCAGUAACCACCAGGUGUUAUUUCCGAUAGUCCUACUGAUGUCUUGCCUUCAUCUGACUACUGAUACUGCAUCUUGAAGCACAUUCUUGCCAAGCCUCUUACCACAUUCUUCGAAGUACAAGCUGUUUUUAGGCUGCUAUCGACAUCGGCAUGGCAUUUGGCCGUUGUAGUAGAAAGGCUGAAGUGCAAUAUUUUGUGGCUGAUAAGUAAUUCGCGUUCGUUAAUGAUUUUAGACAACUUUCUACUUUUGCGAAUAGCAUUUGUGGUAACAGAUUAUCUAAUUUGCAUAUGAAACUAUAUUUAGCGGCAGUACUGGUAAAACAUUUUUUAAGUAUAUCUCAUUUGUUUGGUAGGAUUUAGAAGAGCAAGGAUCGGCCAGAAUUUUAAAACUCAACCAGAUACUAGCGAUUAUUGCAAGAACCUCGACCAUGACUACAAUUUUCUCGUUUUGGUACGAAAUACAGCCAUCAAAAAUCUCUGCAUCGAAAGUAGCGACAGCCAGGAGCCCUAUAAGAACUACUACAUCGAAAAUGACCUCGAGCCAUCUCGCAUUGACUUCCUCUUUGAAGUCCUUAUUGCCCCUCGGAUUGUUAUUGGUAAGAACCUUACAGUAGGACACAUGUGUAACAGUUAGUAUACUUUCGCAAUUUGGCGAAGUUAAUCAUUUCAAUAAAUUAGGCAAGGCCUGUAACAUUUCUAUAGGCCGCCGUUGGCCACCUGCUCGAGCGUGGUGAAAACUGUGUCAGCCCCAUGUGAUACAACGGGUUCACAUGCUUUCUUUUAUCCCAUAGGUCGUCUCUACGUUACGGAAUAUGAUCAAGGACCAUCUACAUCAUUAUUGUAAUCAGGUCAUAUACGAGCCUUUUUUUACUAACACAUAGGUGUUUCCAGGAAUCUUUGUCACCAUGAGCUUAAGUAGGUCCCUUUGACAGACAACCUUCAAGUGCUUCGGCACAAAUUUCGUCUCGUUUGUAAUUAAUUUGUUUUCCAUGUAGCCCCAUGCCUGGCGGUGUAUGUGCGUGGGCGUUUACAAGUCUCACACCCAGGCUAGUGCUAUAUAUUUCUACGCAAGAAUUAGGUUUGAUACCACGUUAGGACCAACCAGUACUGCCAAAGCUCAAUGGAGCUAAAGUUGCUCCGGAGUGAUGGUUAUCGUGGUACACUCUCGAAUACUUGCCCAUGGACCUCACCUAAUCUACGUUAAUAGGUACGAGAUGCGAGUAACAAUGUUGAAAACACCAUAUCCCGGAUAUCCCCAUGUGGUCCCACUAGGAGACCCAACACCUCAACCAAUAUGAAUUUGUGCGAACUACCUAGGCGACACGUUGACAGAAACCGGUUUGUUUUCAAUAAUACCUGCAUUGCGAUUCCGCCUCAGCUCAUAGCUUAUCUAGAGAAUUAUUCAACAACUAAUUUAACUAUCAUUUAAUGUUUAGUAGGGCUAAUUAGUGAGACUAAUGGCAAACACGUUUCGUAUUGAUUGAAUUAUUGAGAUUGUGCGCAACUCCAGUUCGUACAGCAUCACUACUGCUGGCCAUAUUACGAUAAGUAAACUAUAUCUCCCAGUUUAAAGACAGUUUCGCACUUAGGGCAACACACAAUCGCUACGCGUACUCCUAAUUUCUGCAUCAUACCCAAGUAGCGCAGUCAAGGAACCAAUUAGCAUUGAGUCAUAACCCUGCACGCAGCAAUGUCCCUAUCAGUCAAAAACAAUAGUAGGGGGCCUAAUAUAAUACUAAGUGAAGUUAACUUUUUCACAACUUAGGAAAUCCGAUUAGUUGAGUUGACAAAUGGCGCUACUCGGAUAUUUGAUUUUUCGUGAUGUAUAAAUCUGUAGAUAGGUAUAAAAUACAUCUUAUGCUCGCUCGCACUAACCAUUUGACUGUAAUUAGUGAAUAUGAUAUAGGAGUUUGCGAUAUAUGCAAAUCAUAGACAUCGUUUUGAUCAGAUAUAUUUCGAUUUUUCUAAGGCGCUUGGCAAAGUACCCAUGCUAGGCUAAUAUCAAGAUCAAAUGACUUUCAUAUCAAUGCUAGAGCUAUACUUGACCAUGCUGCUAUUUAACUAGUAGAAAACUGAGAGCAGGACGAUGCAGAAUAAGCAACUUUUUGGCUAAUCGUCCAUCAGCGGUAACGUAAGUUAUCAGGAAGGCCCUCCUCUGCUUCGGGUACCACAAUAUGCGCUUCUUGCUACAAUUCUACACGAAUUUUAUGUCCGUGAUUUAAAUUUGUUGCUCUUUUAAUACACUAACCGGCAAUAAAAGUAAACUAUUGAGUCUGUACAUGGACAUCGCUACAAGCUGGGACGAAUCCAGUGACCGCCUAAACUCGACUAGUUCCUGGACGGUCGCCAAUAUUGCACUUCUUUCGCAAACUGUAUACAGGAGAUUAGCACAUAAGUAAUUUAACUUGAAAUGUAUCUAUAACCUAGCAAUCUAUAAUACGAAAGAUCCACAGAUUAACAAGAGUUACCAAUAGCUAGUGAGCCCGGGCUGCCCAAUUUGGCAAGGUGUGAAUAGAUAACAUCUCUGCCAUCUAUUCACUUUAGUAGACGGGAUUUCUAUCGCAAACUAGACUUCGUAGAUCUUCAUUCAGUGGUGAGGUGAACGAGGCAAAUAAUAUUAAUUACCUGCUUAGUUUCUUAUAUGCCCGUCUAACUUUGUCAGUGAUCAUAUUUGUACUCCGAUCUGUAACUCUUGCCGAUCGCAGUGAUGCUGCCAUUUAUUGUAUAUAAAUUCACUACCGAAUUGUAUAUAUUGCCUUGUAGUAAAUUGUGCAUUCUGUCUAUAAGUAACUACAAAUUCUGUUGUGUUUCAUUCAAAAUUUGGACUUUCAGAGUUGACGAUAAGCGGCUUCACGUAGAAGUUUAAGUAUAAAAUUUAUUUUCUAUGGCGUGUUUUUAGGUGCUUCUGUAGCAAGUACCUGCGUCAGUUGUAAAUGGCAUAAUCCGCUCCAGUGGAUCUCGCUCCUGGGGUGUACGUCGGCAGUGAGAUUACGUAGUCUGUCUCUUUUUCAUCCAGCCUGAACCACCAGUGCAGCAAAUCUUCCCAUCCCCAUUCCACAACAUUAACAUUGAUGUGGUAGGGAAAUGUAUUUCGUAGGAUCGUAAAUCAUGCUGCAUCACUUAACAAUCUUUGGAUUUUUUUCAACUGAAGACUCAGUGAACCGAAGAGUAACAAAUAGACGCUUGUAUGUUGCUGUCGUCUUUACUAGAUACCGAAUUUCUUUAGAAUUCACCGAAGACGCGAAAACAAUUGUUUCAUGGAAGUUGGUUCGACAAGCCCCAAAAGUCGCAAUCGGAAAGAGGACGAUUCCGCGCCAGACCGGGUUCAACAGGAUAUAGCCGAAGGUAUAAAUAUGGAAAACCGGAAAUCAUUAGUAAAAGAGCAUUAUCUAUCUCUGCCUAGUUAGACUAGUUGAAAACGACUCUUUUUGACAAAAGAAUAAACAGCAAAUCAAGAUAUCUUCGUAUUACACAUGAUAGAUAAGUACUAAAUUACGUGUAAUUCUAAGACAUAAUACC